ensembl:lncRNA
CACUCUGUGACGUCUCUUCUUUCUCUCUCUCUCUCUCCAGUGAAAGUGUUGGACACGCUUGAGCAGUGGUGCUGGACAGAGCUUCAGCACAAGAACAGAACAGAGUUGGAUCUGGAAGAGAAUAUGCACCUGGUCUGGCCGUCUUUUAAAAAAAAAAAAAAAAAAAAGGCCAUACUGUGUAGUUAGGAGGAUGAAGAGAACUGCCAACUAUGUUAAGCACCGGGAGCGAGCAGCAUGGAAUUCUGGGAAACAAGAACAAUAUGAGCCUCAGAUGUCUCCUCACACACACACACUGUGUAUGUAUGGUGUCCUGGGAGAAGAGAGGGAAGGGAGGAACGACGGGUUAAGGAUGAAUCUAUCCACUGCCUUUGACAUCAUGAACCAUCAUCCUCCCCUCCACUCUCUCAGGGCUGGGC